GAUGAACGCUGGCGGCGUGCCUAAUACAUGCAAGUCGAGCGAACAGACGAGGAGCUUGCUCCUCUGACGUUAGCGGCGGACGGGUGAGUAACACGUGGAUAACCUACCUAUAAGACUGGGAUAACUUCGGGAAACCGGAGCUAAUACCGGAUAAUAUAUUGAACCGCAUGGUUCAAUAGUGAAAGACGCUUUUGCUGUCACUUAUAGAUGGAUCCGCGCCGCAUUAGCUAGUUGGUAAGGUAACGGCUUACCAAGGCAACGAUGCGUAGCCGACCUGAGAGGGUGAUCGGCCACACUGGAACUGAGACACGGUCCAGACUCCUACGGGAGGCAGCAGUAGGGAAUCUUCCGCAAUGGGCGAAAGCCUGACGGAGAAACGCCGCGUGAGUGAUGAAGGUCUUCGGAUCGUAAAACUCUGUUAUUAGGGAAGAACAAAUGUGUAAGUAACUAUGCACGUCUUGACGGUACCUAAUCAGAAAGCCACGGCUAACUACGUG
rnacentral:rRNA from 1 species